CAAACGACUCUCGGCAACGGAUAUCUCGGCUCUCGCAUCGAUGAAGAACGUAGCAAAAUGCGAUACCUGGUGUGAAUUGCAGAAUCCCGCGAACCAUCGAGUUUUUGAACGCAAGUUGCGCCCGAGGCCUUCUGGCUGAGGGCACGCCUGCCUGGGCGUCACGC
rnacentral:rRNA from 5 species